CUCUCUAUCGUCGACAACUUUCUUCCUUGGCCUUUCUCUCGACAACUUGUAUUCAACAAAAUCAUUCCUCUACAAACCGCGACCCCGACCACGACCACGACCAUCACUCUUAGACAAACCCCGACCCCGACCGCAACCAUCACUCUUCGACAAUGCUAAGAUUAGAGCCAACUCUGCUUCAAGGGUUCUUCAAAUCGCUUCCCUUCCCAUCCCAUCGCUUUAGGGUUAUUCCCUUCCCAUUGCUGUAGGGUUCUUCAGAUCUAUUGGCGGUGGUGAUUGUUGCUUUAUUUGGUUGCUUGUGGCUUCGAUUGGCUUCGGCGGUAGUGUUGGAUUCGAUUUGGCAAUGGUUGUAGCUUUGCAGGCGGUGGUUGGUCUCGUGAGAGUUUGAAAUUGAGUUCUGGCGACUGUAGAUCUGAAUCGAACUCUCAAAUCAAUUUUGUUAUGAGGUAGCAUAGUAGGUUUGUCUGGGUUUUGAGAUUGGAAAUCUAAAUUUCUUUGAUUUCCCCAGAAUUUUAUCUCUGCUACCAUUUCUGUACAACAUUCUCCAUUGGCUAAUCAUACCAACCCACACAAUGACUUUAGGUACCUUUCCUUCAACAACGACGAGGCCAGAUCCCCAUUCAUUCUUUGCUGAAUUCGAAAUCCUCAAUUUUCUAGGGUUUCAAUUUUCAACCUCAAUUUCCUGUUGUUCUGAUAUCUGUUUUGUUUGAUAGUUUGUACUGAUUUGGUUCGCGGUGCCAAGGACAAGAGGCUUAGGGUGAAGGGACCAGUGAGGAUGCCUACCAAGGUUCUGCACAUUACCACCAGGAAGUCUCCCUGUGGAGAAGACAAAGUUUGACCCUGUGAGUAUAGGCUGUAUAGCUAUUUACUUGCUCCCAACUGGGAAUGUUUUGUGCCUUCAUUGGAUAUCGUGUGCAGAAAUAUGACAUUUCUACCUGGGAGAACCUCUUACGGUGUAAAAUUUCUCCUUAACAGGAGUUCUGGAGGUGUAUGGGACGUUGCUGCAUAAAUUGUUUACCUCUGAGCCUUGAUGCUCGAUGAUUUCACUCUCUUUAUGGCGUGCAAGUGAAAACAUAAAUGUGGUUUUGCUCAUAUUUUCAUAAGAGCAUUGCAGAUUAGCUUGGAGAGAGCUUGGACAACAACUUCAACUUCAACUGUUAUUUGGCUAUGUCAAGAAUGCCAAACUUUGAUUGAAGACCAUGAUAAGAUAAAGCUUCUCAGCAAUGCGAGGAAUAACUUGAAUACAACCUUAAAGGUUUGUGAACUUUGUUCUCAUGAAUUUUCAAUUUUCGGUUCACAAAGAGAAGGAGAUUGUGCAAGUAGUUAGAACUGUUUGCUUCAUGCAAGAAUGAUGAUUGAUGAAUACUUUUCAUUAUGUCUUAUUAGCACUUGAUUGCAGGGAUCCCAUACCUUCGGUAAUGUAACUUUCCAUUAGCCUUGAGAGUAAACCAAUUGUCACUCUGUAAACCAGUUGGUAAAGCUAAUAGUUUUUUUAAUUGUAUACAGGACGUGCAUAUAUAGACUAAAACUUUAUUCUUUGCAUAGCUGCUAAGCUUAUUUUCUUGUCUGGUUAGCAGCAGUGAGGCAGCGGUGGAUUCUGAGAAUGCUGUAGCUGCCGUAAAUGUAAGUACUUGGAGCACCAAAUGAGAGUAUUUGGCUGCUGUAUAAUUAGCACAACAACUUCCUGUAUUUGGGGCACUGCAACAUCCUAGAACUCUUUCAAUGAGGAAGCCCCAUUACUGUUCUUUAGGCCAUGGAGAGUGCCAAUGUUAUGAAGUGAAGCCUACUUUUGAAGACAAAAGCUAAGAAGAGCAGGAGAUCAGUGAAUAGAACUUGACUUGGAUUUUUUUCUGUUCUCUUAUUUUGUAGAUACAAUUGCAU